AUGUCCCGCCGUCUCUCCCUCCUCCUCGUCUUCUCCAUCCUCUUCCCCGCCACGCUCCUCGCCCAACCCCCAACGCCGCCGCAGCAGUGCCCGCUGAACUUCACCGCCCUGCGCCCCUUCCUCGCCCCGCCGCUCCCCUCCGACGACGCCUCCCGCUGCGCCUUCGCGCUCCAGUCCGUCCGGCUCCUCCUCUCCCUCCACCUCGCCGCCACCGGGUCCUUCCUCAUCCCCUCCUCCUCCUCCUGCCUCCCGCCGCUCCGCGACGCGCUCCCCUUUCCGCUCCCUCCGCCCGAUGCCUGCGGCCUCGCGGGCAUCGACGCGCUCCUCUCCGCUCCUGGAUGCGCCAACAUCUCCACGCGAGCGGAUUUCGAUGCCCGAGUGCCUGCCUCCGCCCGCAGGGACAUCAACGCCAGCUGCUACCGCGAGCUCGGCGCCGUUCCGGUCUGCACCACCUGCACGACCUCGCUCAGCAAGACGGCCGCAGCCUACCUCCUACCUGGAUCCCCCGACGGCGGAAACAAUGUCACCGGCUGCGUCCAGUACCCCUUCAUAUACACCGGCGCCGCGGCCAGCCUACGCGGCCCCGACGACCCGGACACAGCGGACUGCCUGUACCUCCUUAAGGCCAACUCUCAACCCUCCAAAGGGUCCGGCGCCCCUGCCUGGCUCUACGGCGUCGUCUUCGGAUGUGUCGCCUUUGUACUGCUAGUUGCUGCCGCUGCUGGUUCGUGCUUCUUCGUGUGGCGACGCCGGAGGCGGGCUGCCGCUACCGCACUAGCCGCUGACAGCAGGAGCAAGCGCUCGCAUGCAAUGGAGUCCAUCACCGCCAGCACCACCCUGCUCAAGUUCACCUACGACGACAUCAAGAUGGCCACGGGGAGCUUCGCUAGAGACAGCAUCAUCGGCCGCGGUGGUUUCGGGAAUGUGUACAAGGGGGUGCUCCCCGAUGGCGCAGAGGUGGCAGUGAAGCGUUUCAAGAACUGCUCGGCGGCCGGGGAUGCGGCGUUCGCACAUGAGGUGGAGGUGGUGGCCAGCGUGCGCCAUGUCAACCUGGUCGCGCUCCGUGGGUACUGUAUCGCCGCCACGCAGAGAGAGGGGCACCAGCGGAUGAUUGUGUGCGACCUCAUGCAUAAUGGCAGCCUCCACGACCACCUCUUCGGCGCCGGGGAGUGCCUGAUGGCGUGGCCAGUGAGGCAGAGGAUUGCCAUUGGAAUGGCACGGGGGCUGUCCUACCUGCACCGUGGCACACAGCCAGCCAUCAUUCACAGGGAUAUCAAGGCAAGCAACAUUUUGCUUGAUGACGAUUUUGAGGCGAAGGUGGCCGAUUUUGGAUUGGCCAAGUUUGCGCCAGAAGGGAUGACACAUGUGAGCACACGGGUUGCUGGCACAAUGGGCUAUGUCGCUCCAGAGUAUGCCCUCUAUGGCCAGUUAACUGAGAAGAGUGAUGUCUACAGCUUCGGAGUUGUGCUUCUUGAGCUUAUGAGUGGGAAGAGAGCAUUCAUGUCUCUCAGUGAGGGAGAGAGCUUCGUGCUUGCUGAUUGGGCUUGGUCAUUGGUGCGGAGGGGAAAGACGCUGGAUGUGAUCCAGGAAGGAAUGGCUGAACCUGGUCCUACUAAGGUCAUGGAGAAGUAUGUGCUUGUCGCAGCACUCUGCACACAUCCGCAGCUGCAUGCCAGGCCAACGAUGGAGCAAGUGGUGAAGAUACUAGAAGCAGAUUCAGCACCAGGGCCUUUAAUCAUUCCGGACAGGCCUCUCCCUGUUGUUGCAAACCUGGCCGAUAUUGAGAGGUCAGUGAGCAGCAGCACCGGCUCAGGCAGCUAUUGUAGAUGA
rnacentral:rRNA from 1 species